rnacentral:misc_RNA from 1 species
UGCAUGAUUUGUUGCAAGAAAUGGGGCAAAAGAUUGUUUGGAAAGAAUCACCCGAUGAGCCAGGAAAGCGCAGCAGGUUAUGGGUUGAUGAUGAUGUCUAUCAUGUGUUAACUGAAAAUUUAGGAACAGAAGCAGUUGAAAUGAUGACUUUCAACUUAUUUAAACAAAAUGAGGUAAACUUGGGUGCCAAAGCCUUCUCAAAGAUGCGCAAACUAAGACUCCUCAAAAUCUCGAGUUUACAACUUUCCCAAGGCUUAGAUUUCCUUUCUAAUGAGAUAAGACUUCUUGAAUGGCAUGGAUACCCUUUGAAAUCUCUGCCAUUAUGCUUCAAACCAGAAAAACUUGUUGAACUGGACAUGCCUUGCAGCUGCAUCAAACAACUGUGGAAUGGAACCAUAACUUUAGAGAGGUUAAAAUUUGUCAAUCUCAGCCAUUCAGAAGCCCUAAUAAGAACCCCUGAUCUCACUGGGGCUCCAAACCUUGAGAAACUAAUUCUUGAAGGUUGUACAAGUUUAGUAGAAGUUCACCCAUCAAUUUGGCUUCUCAAAUGGCUCAUCAUCUUAAAUAUGAAAGAUUGCAGAUGCCUUCAUACGCUUCCCAUCAGCAUUGAAAUGCAAUCUUUACAAGUUCUUAAUCUCUCUGGCUGCUUUAAAUUGAAAAAGUUCCCUGAAAUUGAAGGAAAUAUGGAACACUUAUCAGAGCUGUAUUUAGAUGGGACUGCUAUUGAAGAACUACCAUUGUCAAUUGAACAUCUCACUGGCCUUGUCCUGUUGAAUCUAUCAAAUUGCAAAAACCUUGUCAGUCUUCCAAGCAGCAUUUGUCAUUCCAAUUCUCUUAAAACUCUCGCUCUUUCUGGCUGCUCAAAACUUGAUCAGUUGCCAGAGAAGUUGGGAAAUGUGGAAUGCUUGGAGGAACUUGAUAUCAGUGGGACGGCCAUGAGGCAAAUGCCAUCUUCCAUUGCCCUCUUGAAAAACCUCAAGACAUUAUCUUUUCGGGGAUGUGGAGUCCAACCACCUAAACCAUGGAGUUCUCUUCUUAGCAACUUUCUGCUUCCAAGAAAAAGUGCAGAUUCCAGGUCUUUGUUGUUGCCUUCCUUGUCAAGUUUGCAAUCCUUGACAUUACUAAAUCUAAGCAAUUGCAAUUUGCCGGAAGGUGUAGUUCCGAGUGAUCUUGGUUCCUUAUCAUCGUUAAAGAUAUUGGAUUUAAGUGAUAAUGAAUUUGUUAGUCUACCCGUGAGCAUCAGUCAACUAUCAAGGCUUGAAGCCCUUCACUUGGAGGGUUGCAAAAGGCUUCAAUCACUGCCAGAUCUCCCAGCAAAUGUAGAAUUUGUAGGGGCAGAUGAUUGUAUUGAGCUGGAAAAUUUCCCAAAUCCUCUAAAGUUGAGCACUUCGGAGCGUUCAAGAUUUAAUCUUUUCAAUUGCCAUAGAUUGGUUGAUGAUCACAACUACAGUAUUUGGGCAUGGACAUGGCUGAAAACAUAUCUUAAGGGACUUCCUCGUCCAACAAACAGUUUUGAUGUUUGUCUUCCUGGAAGUGAAAUUCCAGAAUGGUUCAUAAAUCAGAGCAUGGGAUCUUCAGUAAGUAUAGAUCUACUCCCGCAUUGGAAUGAUAGUGAUCUGAUGGGAUUUGCUAUGUGUGCUAUUUUUAGACUUCGACGUCUAGCUUCUUUCAAUUAUAGAAGAUCUGACUAUCAUAGGCCAAAAAAUGUUGUUCUAGCUUGUUUCUUUAUGAAUGAAAAAGGUGAGUUCCUCUUCAACAAUCACGCAAGAGCCUGGUUCCCUACCUGUAGCUUAGUGAAAAAUUGUGCCCAAAUUGGGUCAGAUCACCUUUGGCUGCUUUUUAGACGCUCAUACCUUGACAAGGACUCACUGAAUGAACUUAAUCGCAUUAAGGUUUCGUUUAGGGGCCAACCAGGAUCUGAUUGGGACUUGGAAAUUAGGAAGUGUGCAGUCCGCCUUGUAUAUUCACAAGACUUGGAAGAGUUGAACCAAACAAUCAUCAGCAACUCUUUAAAUGAGGAUAUGGACAUCCUCUGUGAUGAUUUUGACUCAUCAAGAAAUGGAUCGACUGGGCAAAACUUUAAUGACUCAGAGCCUGGCGGAAGUAGAAACUCCACAGAAGAAGAACAACCUAAAAGACUUUGAAAGAUUUGAAUUUGUAUUUAUUUUUAAGUUGACAGAAACUAUCAUUGGAGGAAAGGGCCUUAAUCAAACCUUUAUUACCAUGCUUGUUUUCAGGAAUGUUGGGAAAACCUUAUUGUCUGCUUUGUUAUUUUGAUAUUUAUUGUAUGGUUUUUGUUCAUUUCACAAUUAAAAUCUUUAUUAUCAACAGAUUUGGAAAAUGAUGGCUUCUUUUGUUCAGUGAUAUGUUUUACCUUCAUGUGUUUGUUCACCCAUUGGCUUAGAUGGAAAUAAUGGGAGUCAUUGGUCAGAUAUUUGUGCAUUGGUCGUGUAUUUUGACUGCCUAGACACUUAUUUGCACGUUCUGUGG